GUGAGGAAUUUUCCGCAAUGGGCGAAAGCCUGACGGAGCAAUGCCGCGUGAAGGAUGAAGGCCUAUGGGUUGUAAACUUCUUUUCUCAGAAAAGAAUUAUGACGGUAUCUGAGGAAUAAGCAUCGGCUAACUCUGUGCCAGCAGCCGCGGUAAGACAGAGGAUGCAAGCGUUAUCCGGAAUGAGUGGGCGUAAAGCGUCUGUAGGUUGUUUAAAAAGUAUUCUGUCAAAGAUUAGGGCUUAACCCUAGAUAGGCAGAAUAAACUUUUAAGCUAGAGUUUGGUAGAGGCAGAGGGAAUUCCCGGUGGAGCGGUGAAAUGCGUAGAUAUCGAGAGGAACACCAAAGGCGAAGGCACUCUGCUGGGCCAAUACUAACACUGAGAGACGAAAGCGAGGGGAGCAAAUGGGAUUAGAUGCCCGUGUAGUCC
rnacentral:rRNA from 1 species